GCCAGCCGCCUGAUGGCGGCGACACUCCA
rnacentral:misc_RNA from 1 species